AGUCAAAGGAGAAGUCGAGCAGAGUUUCUGUUUGAUCUUGUCACACACUCGAUGCCAGUGACGACUCACAGACGAGAUUCUGGUGUCACAGCAGGUGUGGAGCCUGAUGUCACCCAAGAACAGAGAUCACCAUCUGAACUGGACAGUUUUCACUUGGAAAAGGACUCUGUUGGUGCCAACAGGAAGCGAGCAGCUUCAGAAUCAGGUUUUUGUUAGUUUUUUAUUCUUUGUCAUUCUUUCAUUUUCUGCCGCUUCUCCAGAUCUCAAUAGCAGCUUACAAAGCAGCUCCUUCC